CUCUACGACGAAGCGUUCUUGAGAUAUUUCACUUUGAAAUUGCAAAAACGGGGGCCGCGCCCUGACGUCAUGCGGCCAUUUGGUUACAUCAUCACGGGCUGCCUACGUCAUUGUGGCAAAGUCGUUUCUCUUCGCCAGUCUACAAGCACUAAUUUUAGUUGGUAUUUCAAGGGAAGAUGGGAGAUUCCGAACAAUCCUCUGUCCCCAGCAAUGAAGGCAGCGAUGCUGAGGCCAGUGAGGACGACCAACAGCCCACCGCCGCGUAUGGUUGGGGCAGGGAGCCCAGAUACUCUGCUGAGGAGCUGCCAUCGCGUGUAACAAAUGUGGAGGAAGAAGAUGCGUCAGCAGCUGCGUCCGACAGAAGACGAGUAGCUUGGCCACCAGAAUCUCGAUUCGUUUGGGACUCCGACUGGUGCGAGCGUGGACAAAAGUGUAUAGCCAUGCCCAGCCCGCGGGAAUGAUUUUGCUGGUAGGAUGCUGCCGUCGCUGUCGACAAGACGGCCCAAGGUUUCUUGCGUAGCGGACCUCGCAGAUUACGAGAUCGUAUCCUUGCAUUAGGCUGUGCUCAUCACUGCUCUUCGAGGUUAUCUCGACAUGCAGAAGCCGCCAAUGCCAGUGACAGAAGAGUCUGACAUUAGAUCUCUACGCUAUGCGGCACACAGGCAGUACACACUAUGUACACGGCAAAUUGGGCAAGCAUGUUCGUUGUCGUCUUCCAGCCUGCGUUGUGAAUACCAUCAGGCAAAGAUAUCCAAAUCCUGCACCACCUCAGCCUUCUCAGGAGGCUUCCACCUGGAAUUUGGCAGGGAAACACGCUUCUCCAAGGCAGGAACAUGGAGGUUGCCAUUUGCAACCGCUACCACCUCACACAUGAGCUUGUCAACAUACUCAUAGCUCUUUCUGUCGUAUAAUUUUCUAUUUGGCCACAGUCUUCUUUAUGCUUUGAGAACUGGACUUUAUACCUUCC